rnacentral:lncRNA from 1 species
UAUCAAUUUUGUUUCAGAGUCAAACCACGAGCUGAAUUCCUCCCCGAAGUUUGUUCAGCCCACGCCGAGGAAUGGACAAGGACAGCUUAAAGACCAGGCAUCUCCGUCCUGCCUUCCCCUGGAUAACGCAGUAAGGGAACCCCACUGUAGGACACAGCGCAGACAGAGAGACAGCAAGCUCGACGAGAGUCACGUGCAGUCACCACCAGCUGAGGCUUCUUGU